UUCCAAUCUGAACUCCCAAUGAUAAUCAAUCAUUUCAAUCUUAAGUUCUCCUCUAAUCUAGGGUUCCUAAUCUAAGAAAUAAAGUAAAGAAGAAUAAUACAAAAGUCUAUCCCAAGAGGGAUUUACUGGAGUUAUAGAACUAGCCUCCUUUUACAAAUUGUAAUUAUGCCAUUUAUAUAAUAUUUCCCAAGUCCUUCUUUGCUCAUCCGAUCGGUCACAUUAGUUAAAAAGUCAACGGUUGAUAUUCGACGACCGACGCAGCUGCGCCACCCAAAAGGCUAAAUGGGGCACAGCUGCGCUGCAGCAAUCAUGAGCCAAGACCCGGCGCAGCUCCACUGCAUCCAAGACCAAAUUGGGUGCAGCUGUACCAUGCACUAGAUGCUGACUUCUGCAUUCUGCCUUUCCUACUACACUCCAUAUGCUAUAACUUCAUUGCUUGACCCUUAUCACCUCCACACAUGCACUUUAACUUCAAAAGUCACCAGGA
rnacentral:lncRNA from 1 species